rnacentral:rRNA from 1 species
UACGUAGGGUGCAGAGCAUGAAUGAAUCUGGGCGUAAAGCGUGCGCAGGCGGUUUCGUUGAUGCCAGGAGUGUGAAACCUCCCGGGCUUAACCUGGGAAUGGCCAUGGAAACUGGCGAACUGGAGUGUGGCAGAGGGGGGUGGGAAUUCCGCGUGUAGCAGUGAAAUGCGUAGAGAUGCGGAGGAACACCGAUGGCGAAGGCAGCCCCCCUGGGCUAGCACUGACGCUCAGGCACGAAAGCGUGGGGAGCAAACAGG